rnacentral:rRNA from 4 species
UGGAGAGUUUGAUCCUGGCUCAGAUUGAACGCUGGCGGCAGGCCUAACACAUGCAAGUCGAGCGGUAACAGGAAUUAGCUUGCUAAUUUGCUGACGAGCGGCGGACGGGUGAGUAAUGCCUAGGGAACUGCCCAGUCGAGGGGGAUAACAGUUGGAAACGACUGCUAAUACCGCAUACGCCCUACGGGGGAAAAGAGGGGACCUUCGGGCCUUCUGCGAUUGGAUGUACCUAGGUGGGAUUAGCUAGUUGGUGAGGUAAUGGCUCACCAAGGCGACGAUCCCUAGCUGUUCUGAGAGGAUGAUCAGCCACACUGGGACUGAGACACGGCCCAGACUCCUACGGGAGGCAGCAGUGGGGAAUAUUGCACAAUGGGCGCAAGCCUGAUGCAGCCAUGCCGCGUGUGUGAAGAAGGCCUUCGGGUUGUAAAGCACUUUCAGCGAGGAGGAAAGCUUAAGCGUUAAUAGCGUUUAGGUGUGACGUUACUCGCAGAAGAAGGACCGGCUAACUUCGUGCCAGCAGCCGCGGUA